rnacentral:rRNA from 1 species
AACGAACGCUGGCGGCAAGCCUAACACAUGCAAGUCGAGCGAGGACUUCGGUCCUAGCGGCGGACGGGUGAGUAACGCGUGGGAACGUGCCCUUUGCUUCGGAAUAGCCCUGGGAAACUGGGAGUAAUACCGGAUGAGCCCUUUGGGGGAAAGAUUUAUCGGCGAAGGAUCGGCCCGCGUUGGAUUAGGUAGUUGGUGGGGUAAUGGCCUACCAAGCCGACGAUCCAUAGCUGGUUUGAGAGGAUGAUCAGCCACACUGGGACUGAGACACGGCCCAGACUCCUACGGGAGGCAGCAGUGGGGAAUCUUAGACAAUGGGGGAAACCCUGAUCUAGCCAUGCCGCGUGAGCGAUGAAGGCCUUAGGGUUGUAAAGCUCUUUCAGCUGGGAAGAUAAUGACGGUACCAGCAGAAGAAGCCCCGGCUAACUCCGU